CCUGGCCUCAAGCCAUCCUCCCAUCUUGGCCUCCCAGAGUGCUGGGAUUACAGGUGUGCGCCACCAUACCUGGCCUGUGAAAUUUUUAAUUGGGAGAGAUGCUUUCAGAAUAUUGGAAAUUGGGAAAGAUUUCAGUGACCAUAACAGCAUGGUUAUGUGGGUGUGUUUCAUUUAAUUCUUAUGAAAAAUAUAGGUAAUAAAUAUUAUUACUGACAGCUUGACACACAAGGGUGGUAAGAGGCACAGUUGAGUUAUAUAAACCAAGAUCUGCCUGACUACAAAGCUUGUCUACACCCAUGCACACCGUUUGACUGCAUGGUGUCUCAGCCUGAAAGUGUAAAUAUUUGAGUUGCUCUGGAAGAAGAUACGGAGGAAGGGUGUGGAGUAGGGACAUUCUAGAUACAAGUGGCAGAGAUGUGCUGGGGCAAGGUGCUUGCUGAAACUUCCCUGACGUAUGAGGAAGGGAAGAAAGAGCAAGGAGGCUGCACAAGUACCGUGGGGAUGAGAUUGCAGAGUAGAAAUCUUAGGAUGCCACUGUGUGUUGGGCUUGGUAGGCCAUGGCAAGAUGUCAAAGAUGUAUGGACAGAGAUGUCAUGAAAACUAACCAGCAGAAAUGUAGGGAAUGGAGAGGAAGCAGAUGGAGGGGAAGCAGAUGGAGAACAGUUAAGAGGCUGAAGAAUUGAUAUGAGGAGGUCUGGAUUGGGGUGGUCACUUAGAAUGAAAACAGGGGUAUAAGUUCAAGAGACCUUGCAAGAGGUGGAACCCGUGAGACUUGGCACCUUCAUUGAUGAGAAAUAGAGGAGAGAAUGACAGAUGUAGGUUUCAGGCUGAGAGGACUAGUAGAAUGAUGGUUCUAUGAACAGGAAUAAUAAAAUCAGUUCUGGUAGUCGAGUAUAGCAAUUCAUCUUUUUGCUGGUAUACCUAAGAAAGAACUACUAACUGUAGUGGAAAAGAAAAAAAAAGAUGCUAUGAAAUUUGAAGGUCAAAAGGGAGUCUGGCUACAGGUAGGAAUUUGGGAUUGUGAAGCAAUUCCUCUUCCUCAAAAACAAUCUCUUAAAUUUCAAGGUUGGAUAGAGGCCGGAUGGUGUGAUCCUAACUUUAUUCAUUCAAUGAUCAUGAAAUACAUCUGCCUGGGAGUGGGGGGAUGAAAGGGUUUCUCUCCCUUUCAAAAAUGAUCCCUACCAACGUGAUAUUUAUAGAAGCAGCAAAACUUUCAUUUUGACCCCAGAGAACAGUAAUGACCCUUCCCUGAAUUCUUUCUAGCUCAGCUGAGACAGGGCUUGAAAAUCUAAACAAAGCUUCAGCAAACUCAGCACUGCUCAGUGUGUUCUGUGAAACAAUGAUUGUUGGUCCAUGAAAAAAAAAGAAGUCUGUGGUCAAAAGAGUUUGGAAAUGCUGGAGUUAAACAAAAAGUUUUUUUUUUAAUUAUAAAAAUCUUAUUUUAUUCUACUUCAUUUUAUUUUUAUUGGACUUUGCAGUUUUUAAAUUAUAAAUGUUCACUGUCAAUUACUAUAGACUGCUGAGCAUUUGAGAGAGUUUGAACUGGAGAAUAAUUUUUGAAAAUACUAAAAUUGACAUAAAUAAUUUGGGUCACAAAAUCUUGUUAACUUCUCAUUCAUCGGGGCCUGCUACAGGUAGGGAUAUUUCUUUUUCCUAGCUCCUGGUCUUCCUUCACGUGAUGUCCAUUUCAAACCCACCAUGCAGGAUCCCAAUCCUAAUAUCUUUUUUCCUUAAGGUUUUUGAACAAGACAGGCCAGACCCUCUCUCGUGUCUGCGUAGAGCCUGUCUCGAUUCUUGUUUGUGGACUCACUUCUUUCUUGGGUCUUUGAAAUGGAGGUGGACCUUACCUUCCUCCCCAUAAUGACAAUGACAUAGCAUUAAUUCUGCAAGUUUUAACUGAACAAUCAUCUCUCAAUAUAAUAUAAUCAUACAACAUUUGUUAUGGACUAAAUUCUGUCCUUCCAAAAUAUGUAUGUUGUUUUACUUGUUGAGAGCAAUUCCCUGCGUAUGCUACCUAGUGGAUUUUCAGAGUUGGCUAACUUCAGAUUCUACAUACAAAUUAGAUUACUCUGCCUUUUUUGAUUACUUUGUAUUGAUAAUUCUGCAUAAGAUAAUGAUCUGACUUUUCAUUGUUCAUAAAAGAUGGUGAUAAUCUUUGACCAUCUUUGUGGUCCUAACCUCCCAGUAUCUCAGAAAGUGACCUUAACUGGGGAUGGGGUUUUUACAGAGGUGAUUAAAUUAAAAUGAGGUCAUUAGGGUGGGUCCUAAUUCCAUAUGACUAGUGUCUUCAUAAGAAGAAGAAAUGUGGACACAGGCACGUACAGAGGGAAACCAUCUUAAAGACACAAGAAGAAGACGACCAUCUCCAAGCCAAGGAGAGAGGCCUGGUGGGAAUCCUGCCCUCACCAUCCUCAGAAGGAACAUGGACCUGGGAUUUCUAGUUUUCAAAUAAAUUUCCAUCGUUCCAGCCACCUUGUCUGUGGCACCUCAUUACAACAACUGUAGCAAACUAAUACAGGUACAAUAUUCAUUAACAAGGAACGAUAAACAGGAAAACUGAGGACUAUGAUUUUCUUUGGCUAAUUAAAGGACAUUUCUGAAGCCACAGUGAAGGUUGAGGUCAUUGAGGAAAAGACUAUAGAAAGAGAAGAAAGUUGAUCAAAGGAAGAAACGUGAAGAAAUGUCUUUUUUAAGUGGAAAGAGGAAGAGAUGAGGUCGUUGGUGGACUAUAGCAUGAAGUUUAUGAGCUAGAAAGGCUGAAAGGGAAAAGGUUCGUAGUUGGAGGUCAGUAAUCUCCAUCAAGUGUUGAAACAUGAUCGUCAUCUUUGACAAACAAUGAAAAGUCAGAUCAUUAUCUUAUGUAGAAUUAUCAACACAAAGUUAUCAAAAAGGCAGAGUAAUCUAAUUUGUAUGGAGAAUCUGAAUUUAGCCAACUCUGAAAAUCUACUAGGUAGUAUAAGCAGGGAAUUGUUCAUUAAUUUUUAAAAGCACAUGGUUAGUGCCAUGUUCUUGAAAAAUAGCAUUGAGUUAAUAAAAGACAUUUAAAAAAACUUAAGUUAUUUGAUAAAAUUUCUUAGGCCAAGGGGGAAUUUGUCGUUUCUCUGUCCUAGUUGAAGAGAACUAGAAAGGGCCUUUUGAGGGUUUAGAGAGGACAGAGGGUGACUCUCAUGUGACCAGUCAAUCCUUGUUGGAUGCUGUGGCCCAUAGAUGGGAAAGAUGACAUGAAAACUGGCCAGAUGUGAAACAGUACCACCAAGAACACACUAUUUAUGUCUUCCAGUUAAGCAGUUCUGGAAAAUCCCGUAAUUUAUUAAUAGCAUACAUUUUGUGACUCCACCUGGUGGCUUAAGAAAAAAGCAGAGAUGGAAAAGCUAGUUUGCAACCUGUGCAGUGGGAUUCAUUCUUUCAACCCUUAUUAUUGAUUGCAGAACCAUUUCAUCCUGUUUGAAGAAUGCAACAGUAUACACCAUGGCAACCAGUGCAUCAGAUGCGUACCACAUUGCAGCCACCCCAACAAGGCUAAUCAUAGUAACCAUUUUCAUUUCUCUCAUUAACUCUAACCAGUAUUUUUAGCCAUCUCUAAAGCCAGCAUUCGCUUUUAUUAUCUUGAAGAACAACUGUCAUGCUGAAUUUUAAAAUAACAUGCAUUUCUGAAUAUAAGGGGUACAUUUCCUCUCAUCAUUAUAUAUUUCAUUGUAUUCAACAUAUUAGAGUCUUUUUUUUUUCUAGUCUCUCUAUAUUAUAAAAUAAUUAUUCAGAUAAUGACAAAAAUGAGUAUGUUCCAUUAGCGUUUGGGUGCAUUAAAUCUCUAUCCGGAGUGCAUAGACUUUUAACAUUAUUAGACAGAAAAAUGUGCUUAUAAGAAAAAGAAGACUUGAACUCCUUUUAUAAAUGUAUCUCUUGCUGUUUCUUUUCCUCUUUCUAUGUAUCUGGAUGGAUAAAGUAGGAGACAGUCAGUAGGGUGAGAUGGAACUGAGUUCUAGGGUAAGAGGUCUUUCUCUUUUAUCUCCUUUCACUGGGCUUACAGGAUGCAUAGACACUUCAUGUAUUUUAGCUGGUUACUGUAAUUAAUCCAUGUUUUUAGUGUUCUUGACAAAAUAAUAAUAAUGAUAAUUUGAUCUACUACUACCCAAAAGCAAUUUUAAAAGUUCCAGACAGGCUUUUGCCUGGGCAGAGGGUCAGCUAAUAGGUAUCAUAACCAAAGGUCUCCUACAAUGUGUUCAUACUGUGCUUGGAAUUAUAAAAAUCUAUUUAUUUAAUAUUUACAUGAAUCAUAAAAAGUUGAAAUUAGUACCUUGAUGUUUCUUAUUAUACGAGGAGAGGCUCAAGAGACUGGAUCAGUGGAUAAGCAGUGGGGUCAAGAACUAUGAACUAUGAACUAUGAACUAUGGCUGAAAGCCCAGGUCUGUUUUACCAGGCCUCUCGUUUGCUUCCGACAUAAAUUAUAAAGAUGACUAGGUGUGCAGAGUCACAGAAAAUCACCCAAUUGCAGCAAGCUACUGACUAUUUUGUAAAAUGUUUUGCUGUUAAAUUUUAUUCUAGCAGCCAGGAGUGAGCUCAUGUACCCGAACCUGGGGAAAACAUGCAUGCCAUCUAGGGGCUGAAACAGCUGAGUUAUGUUACCAGUGUGUGUUGUAGCCGUAUGCAGUACGUGAUCAACCAGCUUAGUGGAUUAACUCC